AUCCAGCAGCCAGACCAGCAGCAGAACUACAGAGAACAUGAUGAUGAAGAUGACGAAGAUGACUGAUUGGAGUUUCUACUUGGCUGACAAGCCAUCAAGUUUUUUUUAAGAUGAAGUAUUUGAUUAACAAUGUACUGAAGGACAUGAUUAAUAACUUUGUUUUUGUUUAUUUGGAUGACAUUUUUUUUUUUUUACCAGACCCUGUUGUCCAUGUGCAGCACGUCAGAGCCAUCCUUCAGCGCCUGCUGGAGAAUCAGCUUUUCUGUAAAGCUGAAAAGUGCGAUUUCCACACCUUGCGAACUGAGUUUCUCUGGCAUGUGGUCACUCCAGGUGCUGUCCAAAUGGAUGACUCCAAAGUUCAAGCUGUCUUGGAGUGGCCUGUCCCGACAGGCAGAAAACAGCUACAUUAUCAUCCUCCUCCUUUCCUGUCAUUCCUGACAGCUGCUUGCAUUUAGUUAAUUGGUUUCUCGUAUUAUUUAAGAUCACCUGUUUCAGCAGUCUGUGUCGCAGUGUAGUUUCUGUUUGUUCAUUAUGUUCCUGGUUUGCUUGGCUUGUUUCAAUGGACAGGAUUCCUUAGUUAUAUUAAAUACUUCUCCUCACUUCACUUCCUUCUUUGUUCCUGCAUUUGCGUCACCUUGAUUUCCCGUAACAGAAACUGCUUCAAAAACCAAAAUUACGAACUUAUUAAUACAAACGAAAUGUCUUGAUUUGUUUUGGUUAUCUCAAGAUAAAAUUUAAGUUGCCAUUUUCAAAAUAAAAUUUUCUGUUUGGCGACUUUUUUUGGCAAAGGCAUGGACCAUAAGAAUGGUCUCUUUGUAUUCUCGUUAAGCUCUGAUUGGGUGGAUUUUUGUAUUUGGGUAUUUUAGUUAUGUGAUGGCAUUUUCUGUAUUCUGUCUUCCAGUGUCAUAAAAGCCCAUGCGGGCUGGGCACACGAGUGCAUGACACUUAAAAAAUAUCAAACUGAACUAGUUGUUCUUGUUCAAAUUAUAAACAUGGAUGUUUCUUCAUGUAUUUAGUGACAUUUUUGGGUUUAACUUAUUUUCUUUUUUCCUGACGUCAAAGGUUACAUCAGAUCUUAGUUGUUAAAUCUAAAGAUCUUUUAUCUAUUAUCUAGUUGUCUUGGUAAAUCUAAUAAUUUGCUUUUCAUUACAUUUUCAGGUCAUUUGUUUGUCACACGUAUCUUUAUUCCUUGUGUUAUAAUUUGCUCAUAACUAACACAUUUCUUUAGUCUACACUGAUAUUAGCAAAUGUUUUUAGUUUUAAAAUAAUCUUCGUGGUUUUUUUUUAGUUCCAAACAUGUUUCUCUUGUAUCUAUUUCUUGGUCUAACUGCUGCACUGACUAAAUUAUUUCUUUUGUCUCAUAAUAAAUGUUUCAGGGAUUUUCUGCAUCUGUUUCCUCUCUUUGGGUUGAUGCAGUUAAUAACCUGCCUCUAAGUCUAAAUACAGAUUACGGUAUUCAGCUGUUUCUGUUUAUAUUAAUUAGCAUUCAUCUGAUUCAGUUUUUAGUACAUCCUGGUCAGGCCAUCUUUAGUUUCUUCCUUCUUUCAUAGAUUUUUUUUUUUUUUUUGUCAGCUAAAUUUUUUCUAUUAGGUUUGUUUAAAGUUUUAGUUAAGCCUGAUCUUCUCUUUGAUUCCUUCACAUCCCAUUCCUGAUAAUCAGGGCCGGCCUGAUUAUCAGGGCAUUUAUUUUGUUUGUCAUUUAUAAAUGAGAAUCUUUAUUUCCAAUUUGUAUUUGGCAGCUUUGAUUCUCCAUAUUCCAUGCCAACGCAAGAUUUUUAGACACACUCAAUGUUGAAAAAGUCAGAUUACCUGACUUUCUAUAACAGAUUUACAACAGUUUUUAUACUGACAUAAACUGGAAAAUGCAGAUCGCACUAAACAUGUGUUAGCAAAACAAUUAAACAAUAAGAUAACGUGACUUAAAACAUUUAUCAGCCACCAUACCAUUAUCAUUAUCUACUUUUCUAUGCUCUCCACCGUUUUGGAAGGUCAAGUUCGACCUCAUCUUUGAAAACUUGGAUAUCAGAAUUAUUAUCGAGUUUUGCAUUUGGAAAUUAUGACAAACGGGUAAUUUAUGUACAAACUUUACCUCGUAUCGAUAAGUAUUUUACGUUAAUCGUGCAGCUGCGCACAGAAAGGCCAGGAUCAUGUAAAAAUACGGCCCCAACAUCCUCCAAACUUACCUUGUGAUUGAUGUUAAAGUUCUUCAUCUUUUUUCAGCGCCUGAUGAAAAAGUCUCUUUGGCAAGUUCUCUUGUGGUCCCUUUGAUCAAUGUGACAACUUGCGCUCGUAAAUGCACACUGUGCUAGGCUCAGAUGUUGACCAAUCAUUGCUAAGAGUGGCAUAACGUAAUUAUUUGGGUUGCCAGAUUGGUUCAGGUAUGUUGAAAGGGAGGAUCAUUAAAGUGCAGGCAACAUUCUUUUGCUCAACAUUCGCAGCGCACGUUGGUAGGGAAGUGCUAUUAAAUGGGUUGCCAGAUUUGGGCCUUUUUUUUGCCACUUUGGGGCCCUGUUGGUGACGGCAGGGCCCUACACGGCUGCGUAAUUUGCGUAUAGGGUGGGCCGGCCAUGCUGACAAUGAUUUGUAGUUUGUGUGUCAUGGUGCCUCUGGCAGCGCUCCUCCCCCUCCACUCUCUGCUCUUCUCCUGAGGACUCCCAGCUGUUUCCACUCAGCUCAUCUACCUGCAGCUCUUCUUAAUGAGACCAACAUCCAGCAUUCAUCGCCAGUUCGUUGCUCCUCCAUGGUGCAUAGUCAGGUCAUUCAUGUUCUCGCUCUAGAAAUUUUGACCUCAAGUAAUUACUCCCCUAUGCCUUGUUUCAGGAAAAACCCACCACAAGUGUUAACCUGGGAUUGCCUCCAGAACUAUCAGUCCUCCUCAAGCUCGGCUCGUUACCUGUUUAUGCCAAUCCUCCAACUCAGCCACUAGAGAAAACCUCCAGCCACGCCACGACUUCAAGCCAGGAUUGCAGUUCCAGCACCUGGGUCUGCCUCAAGUCCUUGAUAUCAUGACAUUGUGAUUUUUAAACUAUAACACAGACACUCUCCAGCUCCUGUUUCCUGUUUCAGUGAUUGCUCAUCUGUGGAUAAACUUUACUGCUGGAGUCAUCUCUGAAGAUGGUAAAUCUGUUCUUCACUGACUCUGAGUAAUAGAUAGGGCUGCUGGAUGUGUGCACCAAAGCGAUCCACUCCAGUCCUUUCCCGUGAGUCUGUCUG